AUACAAGAGAGAACAAAAUGGUUAUUCAGGGGAACGCUUUCGAUUUUUAUUGUGGGUAGCCUGCACAAAGAGCCGUGUUAUUGUAUUUAAAAGAACCAUCUGUAGCAGAAACAAUGGCAUCAAAUUAUCUUUGAAUACCCACUGAAAAAACAUAAAGCUUUUUUUUUUAUUCUUCUUCUGUACGGUGGGGGGAUAGAGCAGUGUUAGGAUAACUGACUUUUUUGUUGUUCUCUGGGUGCAUUCUUCUCGCUCCCCCUCUCUCUCCCCCUCACCCUCUCUCUCUUCUCUCUCUCCCUCUCCCUCUCUCUCUCUCUCUCUCUUUUAAAAAAUCAGCCAUUUGGGGUUUUAAGCCAUAAACGAUUUUUCUUGUUGCAGGGGAUUGCAGUGGCAAAGCUAGGCUAGGUCUUGGAGGCUGGUGUAAGGCGAUGUGGGUGAAGGCAGGAGGCUGAUGGAAAGACUGGGGGGAAGAAAAGCCGAAAUGGAUUCACGGUGCCUUGGAUGAAGGACGAGAGGGGAACUGCAAGCUCCUUCAACUGGUUCUGUCCGGUGAGAAGUGAUCAAGCUUGGGCUGACAAGAGGCUCAGGGAGCCCUCACGUUCUUUCGCUUUUUUACCUGCCAAUCAAACUGCUACAAGACAACACCCUGAUCUGGCAUGGACAUCGCGGGUCCAAGCCUGUAGCCCCAAAUCGGAUAAUCUCUGCAGCUGAUAACAAGCAAAAGAGAAGCCAGGCAACAGCCAUAUUAAAGAAGAAAACAAUCAACUCUGAGAUCCAACUUAGAAAUAAUGUUUCAUUCAAGAUAAGGCUCGUGGCUUAGGAGAUUGUGACCUGGCUUGCAUCAUUCUAAGACUUCUAUCGUCUGUUUUCAAAACCCAAGGAGGACCUCCUUUUCUGUGUGAUAGUUCCUCAUGCUUUGCCAGCCACUGGGUCUUUAAGGAAGCUUGCCAAGAGUUCCCGGCUGGGAAGGACAGUUCGAGUUCAUCAUAGACAAUGAGCUGGCACCACAGUUUAAGUGACUCACCAACCUGGUUGCCCACUUCAAAAUGUCAAGAACCACACUAUCUAAUUGAAAGAACUGUGUUUUAGCAAAGUGUAAUUGGAUCGCCUGGCAAGAUCAUCUCAAACUAUGUCUCUGACCUUGCCUUUCAGUGGCUAUUUUGAGCACAAGAGGAGAAAGGAAAUGAUUCCUGAAUUAUAUCUUGUUUUUAAAAAUUAAGAUUAAUUAAUACUUGGUUUUAUGUUCAUUCCAUUGUAGGAACUUAGUGAUUAUUACAAAACAGUCAAAAUAGGUCAUAGCAAAAUGAACGUUUAAGAUUAGGUUAAAACAUUCCUCUGAAAUUUUAGUAUUCACUUUUGAAGUGUCAAUUACUAUAUUUCUGUAAUUUCUCAUUUUUUUCUUGGCUUAGAGUCAAGAUGAAAAAUGAUAUUUGAAUCAAAGACAUUGUUUUGUUAUAUAGCCACUCCUUUCUAAAAUGCAAAUCCACCCUCCCCUCACCAAUGCUUUAUUCUUUGUGCGCGCACACACACACACACACACACACACACACACACACACACACAGACAUACACAGAACCAGCACCCAAAUGGUAGAGGAGGUCCUUCCAAGACUUCUAGGACCUGGAUCAUGUAAGCAGUAGAUGAGAAAAUGAAGUAAGAGAUAUAGAGUAAUAACAAUAAAAGUCAAUGAUUUCAUUUUACAAAAAAGUCAUUGUGUAGUACUCAGAUAUUUUUAAGAGCAAGUAUUAUUAUGACUAAAGUAUAUUAUACUUCUAAAUUAUUAUGAUUCUCAUCUAAUUUCAAGCCACACAUAGGCGCCAUUUGAAAGCAUUUUGUGUUACAACCUAUCAACAAAAAUCAACUAAUAGUUUUAUAACGUGCAUAGGUUUACCCCAUGGGGAAUUAAAAUUUUUAUCUGCAAGUAUUUCUGUUGUUGUGAGACUUUAGGAC
rnacentral:lncRNA from 1 species